rnacentral:rRNA from 1 species
UACGGGGGGGGUAAGCGUUGUUCGGAUUUACUGGGCGUAAAGGGCGCGUAGGCGGUCAGUGCAAGUCAGUUGUGAAAUCUCCGGGCUUAACUCGGAAAGGUCAACUGAUACUGCUCGACUAGAGUGCGGAAGGGGCAACUGGAAUUCUUGGUGUAGCGGUGAAAUGCGUAGAUAUCAAGAGGAACACCUGCGGCGAAGGCGGGUUGCUGGGCCGACACUGACGCUGAAGCGCGAAAGCUAGGGGAGCGAACGGG